rnacentral:Y_RNA from 1 species
GGCUGGUCCGAAAGUAGUGGGUUAUCAGAAAUUAUUACAGUUAGUUUAACUAACCUAAGUCACACCCCACUGCUAACCUUGACUGGUCUUUU